AGAGAGAUGGCAUAGUGGUUUGAGUGCUGGACUAUUAUUCUGGAAGCCAGGGUUCAAAUCCCAGCUGAGCCA